GAAAACUAUUGAAGAUAUAGGACAGAGAAGAGAGAACUGCUGGAUCCAUAUCCUACCAACUGAGAUCAAGAAACGGGCGGCCACGGGAGGUGUUGAAGAUGAGAUGGCGUCUGAGAAGAGCUCAGAAGGAGACCACGUGAACCCAAGCAGAAAAGCACCGUUAAGUGUUAACAGCCGCA